AUGGCGCCUUUUCGAUCUUCCACUUUUUCCUGCUUCGUGGAAGAGACUGGAAACGUGCAAACAAGCGUUAAUAAAGGUGUAAAGACUGACACUCCAUGAGAUGUCUAAGGCGAAAAAGAAGACUGGAAAGCAGCAGGAUGACCUCAUUGUGCUGUCUGCAAACAAUAUGACGCUGGAGAAAUAAAAAGGUGGAAGCUGAAGGAGAUGCUUCCUGAUCAUGUGAGUGUCGCUGCAGAAGAAUCCACAUCAAACAUGGGCCCGUUCAGUGAGACUUCUGGAUUUUCCUCCCUGAAUAAAAAAAAAAACUCAAGUGUUCGGCUGCAGACACACGAUGGAGCGUUUGAAGACUCCUGCCGUCGUCACGUCGCUGCUGUCCAUCCAGAAGUUCCUGCUUCCUGUAAAACGAGAGGAAAGGUGUGGCUGUGCAGUUCAGGUUCUUCUGUCCAAACCUGACCUCACUGGACUGCAUUAGGACUGGCAGAAGAUGACAGUGAUUAAAGAUUAAAACACAAACUGUUGGUUUGAAGGUUUUCCUGCUGCAGUGAGAAUCCUGAGAGGCUCAUGGCUAAAACUCAGACUGACGAGUGAAGAUCGUCACAGUUCCUGUUGCUUCCUGUAAAUGAGAGGAAAGGUGUGGCUGUGCAGUUCAGGUUCUGUCCAAACCUGACCUCACUGGACUGCAUUAGGACUGGUAAAGAAAUGGAUUUAUUUUUUAUUUGUUAGUUAAAUUUAGCAAGGCCCAGUUGUUGCUGGGAUUGUGAAAUGAUGAGUUGCAGUAGCAGUCAUGGGAUUGACCCAUCCCAUUCUCAGCUGCUGCUCCCUCCUGUUGACCCAGUACGGCACUGAGAACCCUGUCCAUCAGGUGUAAGGUGACCUGCUGGGCUCUGAUGGAGACCAGGAUCUGGCUGAGUGUCUGACUGACAACAAUUGCUGAUAACAACCCAGACCUGAGAUUCUGUAGAACCUCUGAAGACUGAAACUUUAAUAACUUUAAUUUAAUAAUACUCUUGUUAAUAAAUGUAAACAUUUGAUCUUAACAGGCAGAAGACGACAGUGAUUAAAGAUUAAAACAAACUGUUGUUGUGGUUCAGGGUUCUCACUGCAGCAGAAAGACCUAAGAGGCUCAUGGCUAAAACUCACUGAUGUCUGAAGAUCAUCAGUUCUGCUGUCGUCCAGUGGUGACAAGUUUUUCUGCUGUUUUACUUUAAAGGAUGUGUAACUAAACUUAAUAAAAUAUAUAAACACA